rnacentral:rRNA from 1 species
GUGGCGACCGGGUGAGUAACACGUGACUACCUACCUUCUAGUGGGGGAUAACUCCGGGAAACCGGAGCUAAUACCGCAUAACAUCGCAAGAUCAAAGCAGCAAUGCGCUGGAAGAGGGGGUCGCGGCUGAUUAGCUUGUUGGCGGGGUAACGGCCCACCAAGGCAAAGAUCGGUAUCCGGCCUGAGAGGGCGCACGGACACACUGGAACUGAAGCACGGUCCAGACUCCUACGGGAGGCAGCAGUGGGGAAUUUUGCGCAAUGGGGGAAACCCUGACGCAGCAACGCCGCGUGGAGGAUGAAGUCCCUUGGGACGUAAACUCCUUUCGACCAAGACGAUAAUGACGGUACUGGUGGAAGAAGCACCGGCUAACUCUGUGCCAGCAGCCGCGGUAAUACAGAGGGUGCGAGCGUUGUUCGGAAUUAUUGGGCGUAAAGGGCGCGUAGGCGGCGCCACAAGUCACUUGUGAAAACUCUGGGCUCAACUCAGAGCCUGCAAGCGAAACUGUGGUGCUGGAGUAUGGGAGAGGU